AUCACUUCUUGGCCUUUUGGCUAAGAUCAAGUGUAGUAUCUGUUCUUACCAGUUUAAAGCAAAACUAAAUGAGUAACCUCCAAAAUAGGACAAGACUAGUCUGAAAAGUUUUGUGGUCUUUUUGUUUUGAAUUAAUGUGCUGUCUUAAUUCCUU
rnacentral:snRNA from 1 species